rnacentral:rRNA from 1 species
AUGAACGCUGGCGGCGUGCCUAAUACAUGCAAGUCGAGCGAACGGACGAGAAGCUUGCUUCUCUGAUGUUAGCGGCGGACGGGUGAGUAACACGUGGAUAACCUACCUAUAAGACUGGGAUAACUUCGGGAAACCGGAGCUAAUACCGGAUAAUAUUUUGAACCGCAUGGUUCAAAAGUGAAAGACGGUCUUGCUGUCACUUAUAGAUGGAUCCGCGCUGCAUUAGCUAGUUGGUAAGGUAACGGCUUACCAAGGCAACGAUGCAUAGCCGACCUGAGAGGGUGAUCGGCCACACUGGAACGGAGACACGGUCCAGACGCCGACGGGAGGCAGAAGUAGGGAAUCUUCCGCAAUGGGCGAAAGCCUGACGGAGCAACGCCGAGUGAGUGAUGAAGGUCUUCGAAUCGUAAAACUCUGUUAUUAGGGAAGAACAUAUGUGUAAGUAACUGUGCACAUCUUGACGGUACCUAAUCAGAAAGCCACGGCUAACUACGUG